UACGUAGGUGGCAAGCGUUGUCCGGAUUUAUUGGGCUUAAAGGGUGCGUAGGCGGCUUUGUAAGUCAGUGGUGAAAUAUGGCAGCUCAACUGUCAAGGUGCCAUUGAUACUGCGGAGCUUGAGUACAGAUGAGGUAGGCGGAAUUGACGGUGUAGCGGUGAAAUGCGUAGAGAUCGGGAGGAAUACCUGUGGCGAAGGCGGCCUACUGGGCCGGACCUGACGCUGAGACGCGAAGGCGUGGGGAGCGAACGGG
rnacentral:rRNA from 1 species